UGACUAGAAAGUUCACUUACUGU
rnacentral:miRNA from 1 species